AUGGCUCAGGAUGAACGCUAGCUACAGGCUUAACACAUGCAAGUCGAGGGGCAGCAUUGGGGUAGCAAUACUCAGAUGGCGACCGGCGCACGGGUGAGUAACACGUAUCCAACCUGCCGCUUACUCGGGGAUAGCCUUUCGAAAGAAAGAUUAAUACCCGAUGGUAUAAAGAGUUCGCAUGUUCUCUUUAUUAAAGAAUUUCGGUAAGCGAUGGGGAUGCGUUCCAUUAGAUAGUUGGCGGGGUAACGGCCCACCAAGUCUACGAUGGAUAGGGGUUCUGAGAGGAAGGUCCCCCACAUUGGAACUGAGACACGGUCCAAACUCCUACGGGAGGCAGCAGUGAGGAAUAUUGGUCAAUGGACGAGAGUCUGAACCAGCCAAGUAGCGUGAAGGAUGACUGCCCUAUGGGUUGUAAACUUCUUUUAUAAGGGAAUAAAGUGAGGGACGUGUCCCUUUUUGUAUGUACCUUAUGAAUAAGGAUCGGCUAACUCCGUGCCAGCAGCAGC
rnacentral:rRNA from 1 species